AUUGAACGCUGGCGGCAGGCUUAACACAUGCAAGUCGAGCGGGGUGAUGGUGCUUGCACUAUCACUUAGCGGCGGACGGGUGAGUAAUGCUUAGGAAUCUGCCUAUUAGUGGGGGACAACAACUCGAAAGGGAUGCUAAUACCGCAUACGUCAUACGGGAGAAAGCAGGGGAUCACUUGUGACCUUGUGCUAAUAGAUGAGCCUAAGGCGGAUUAGCUAGUUGGUGGGGUAAGGGCCGACCAAGGCGACGAUCUGUAGCGGGUCUGAGAGGAGGAUCCGCCACACUGGGACUGAGACACGGCCCAGACUCCUACGGGAGGCAGCAGUGGGGAAUAUUGGACAAUGGGGGGAACCCUGAUCCAGCCAUGCCGCGUGUGUGAAGAAGGCCUUAUGGUUGUAAAGCACUUUAAGCGAGGAGGAGGCUUACCUAGUUAAUACCUGGGAUAAGUGGACGUUACUCGCAGAAUAAGCACCGGCUAACUCUGUGCCAGCCGCCGCCGUAAUAC
rnacentral:rRNA from 1 species